UUUGUGCUUCACUUGUUUCGCAUAAGGAUGAUCCUUUUUGUAGAAAAAUAAAAAAAAGUUGAUGUAUUUGUAUUUGAAUUGCAUUUUCUAUUAGGGUUGUUCUUUCAGUUGCAAAUUAAGAACAAAAAAUAUUUCCAGAAAAUUCAUCCAGGUAAUAUUUUUGGUAUAGCUUCAAACCAUGAUUUCCCACAAAUCUUUUGGUGACCAGUCUAUAAUGAGAUAAUAACUAAUAAAAUAUUACUUUGAAAUUAUCGCUUCCUACUUGCGAAUGAUAUCUCUUCCUGAACUUUACGUGCCAUUGAAGAACCUUCUCUGCAUCUUGAGAUGUCAUAGUUUUGUUGAAAAAAAAAAAACAACCACCAUCAUCACUGCUUUUCGAGUAUGGAAAAUUUUUCAACUAGGUUUUUAAAACAGUUUUAUUACUCCUCUCAAAACGGUUUGCAAAACAUCUCCAAGAGUGGUCCCCUUAGCCGGAAGAUGCUCUUAAAAAGGUUAUCAAGAGGUUUUGAUGUAUAAAUCAGUUUUAUUGCAAGUUUUAUGAAAUUGAUCACGAAAAUCUCUUAUAGAGCCAAACAAAACUUAAAAUUGUUCUCCCAUCACGUUAGAGUUUAGGUUCAAUCACCACUUCGGUAUGCUAUUUGGUAAUCUUACCUACAAGAAGCUAAGGUAUACACUCAGUAGCAAAAAAAAGCCGAGCUGAAUUUUUCUUCCAAAUUUCACUGCAGCGUCAGAAAAUGUAGGGGACGUUGUGGUCAAAAUUUGAAUUGUUUUCAUCCAGUGGUUUGGACCACAGAAACCGUCAAAGUUGAAGUACCAAUGUGGGAGCCUACUGUUUUCACUCUAUAUUGACCAUGCUGAAACACCGGUGCAGAUUUUACAGAUUUUGGCUACUGUAGAAACUUUUUUAAUACUAUUAUCUUUUUUUAAUUUCUUUUCUACAAAAAGGACCACCCUAAUGCAAAAUAAGAGAACCACCCCAACGAAAUAUGACAACUAAAUUCAAAUCCUCCAUUUCAAAUUCGUUUUACUCCCCCAACUCAAAAAUUUUCUUAGUCCAAAAAGCUAUAUUUUUUCAAUUUUUUUAGAUAACACCAGAUUUCGACGUUUCAUGCACUUUCAAGGCAUUUGGCAUAAAAAAAUGUCGAUUUCUAAAUUUUCAUGUAUCCCUUACAUGUAUAUUUUUCGUGUUUCAAAACAGCCAAACUUUGACCGCUUUGGGCAAACACUUAGCGAAGUUCGAUGAGCUGAAAUUUUGCAUGGGGACUUGUUUUGAGGGAAUGAAACUUUUUGAAAUUUGAAAAGUCGAUUUUCAUUGGCACCCUAAUGCUCAUCUAAUUCAAUCCGAAGGUGAUUUGGAUUGUGAAAAGAAACAAACCAUUUGCAUUAGUAGAAUCAAGUUCAGUUCUGUGCCUUCAGGGAACGGAGAUGUUCAUGUGGCUCCGUAGCUUGGAGGAAUGAAGCGCCCGUUCAGCGAAUUGGGAGUCAUUGGUUCGAUUCCCACCGGAGCACGUGGAUUCUUUUCUUCGCAAUUUAAAUCUCAAUUUAUUCAUCAAACACGUGUUCUUGUUGUGUGCAUGAAUGUCAAAGUAAUCAAACAAAGAACAUAGUAAGAACAUAUUAUUCGUUAUUAUUAUUAGACGGGGUAUAGUUUUAGCAUUUUUGCAUUUUUUUUUGGGCAACCAAACUUUUAUAUUUUUGGCUGAUAUUCAGGACUGUUCUGUAUAUCUGAAAACUAUUUUGGUUGCUUUUAAAGCGUAUUUACAUUCUUAAAAAAAUCAUUGAAAAAUUGAUAUUUUGGUCAACUUUCACAUGUCAUUGUUUCUUUUGUACUGAAUCGAAACAAUUAACUUAUUUUAAAUUUAUUCUCAAUCAUUCUAUUAUAGUGAAAUAGUAUAGGGAAGUUGAAUACACUCUAAAGUUAUUUUCCUCAAAAUUACACGGAAAAUAAAAUUUUCCUUGGAAAAAAAAUAAAAUAAAAAUAUUUCAUCAAUUAUCAUGAAAUCACAAAAUGUUUUCAUCUUAUAAAAUCGGUAUCCCAAAUAUGCUUUCAGGAAAAUGUAACAGUGUAAGUAUGUUCAAAAAUAAAAAUUAGAAAAUUAACAACCAAAAUUCACAAUCGCGAAUUAAAAACGGAUCUUCUUCCAGAACAUGUUAAAUCGAUUUUAGAUGAUGAAAAAUUAUAUUUAGAUCAUAAUAAAAAAUAGGGUAUAGAGGGUUCAGCAUGCCCAAGAAACUCACGAAAUUUCCAUAACCUAAAGUUACUGGACCGACCGGUAAUCGAACUCAGCAUGGUCUUACUGAAUAUUCGCGCGUUUACCGCUUCUGCAAUAAAUAUGGGCUCUUAGAGAUAAUGUCACAUUUUGUUCCGGCUGUACCCACUGUGCAACAAUGAGAACAAGAAUGUUGCAACCAGGCGAGUGAGGGCCACAAGAUGCUUCACCAUCUCCGAGCGAAAGAGCGAACAUCUUCCGGCUCCCCUUUGUGUUCAUUACCUUCUCGGGCGCAAUAAGAUUGGUACAAUAUGGUAACCCGGGGAAUAAGAAGGAACAUUCUUUUUUUUCUGUCGACGACGACGUGGUGGGGGUCCUAGGGCGAUUCCCUUAUCUUCUGAUAUGUGUCACACUUUGGGAAAGUGUAUUUUUCUCCAUCUGCCACUCCGAGCGUGACGACGCCCAGCUUGUGCCGGAUUCUCGCUCGUCCUGAAAUCUUCUGACGGAGGAACACUCGAGGGCAGCCAAGUGACAAAAACUAUCGUACUUUGUGUGCGGUUAACAUAUGUCCACAUUUUUUGGACGGAUCUCUGGGAUGAUGGGGUGGGUGGGAUCUGCAAGCCUUCGAGUGUUUAUGGACCCAAGCCGACCGACACAAGACGGAAGUAUGAACGGUGGCAAUCAAUCAUUGGUCGGGAUCUUGCGGGUGAAACUUUCUCGGAUUUUGGCUUUGGGCGAAACCCUCAAGCCGGGCACAAGAGAAGGAGAAGGAUAUGCUUCACCACCAUCAUCGCCACCAUACAGAGGAAUUGUUUGACUUUGUUCAAACGGGGAAACCAUAAUUAGUUUGCACUGGGUUGAGCUUUUACCGCCGCCGUAUCAAGCAAAUCAAGUGCAUGGAAAUGUGAAAUUGCUGAUCCAAUAGAGGAAGAAAAGGGAAAGGCUGCCUGACGGAGGUCAAUUAUUGCAAUGGAGCUUAUCUUGCGGUGUGCCACGUGGGCCAUAAACGUAAUGGAGCGGUUAGGGUUUGGACCAAGGCGAAUCGUGCUCGAUGCGGUUACAAAUAUAUAUGUUCCUAUGUUUGCAUUGAAGAUGAUGAUGGUGAAUCAAUUAGGUGGUUGAAUGCGGAUAAUUGUUUGCCCUCAGGUAUCAUGAACUGUGUGAUCUUCAAUAAAUUUGGAUUGUGAGUAUAUCAACCAUGGUAUUCAAAUUAGGAGUCAAACUAUAAUAGCCUUCUGACAUUAUCCUGUUGAAGUUGGGAGAAUUAAAGAAGCUUCCUCAUAGUUGUUCAAUCCGAAAACUUCAAGCAAUGAAUUUCACUAGUAAUUUGAGCAUUUCUGUAGCUUGUGAAUAUUUGCAAGACAUUGAAGUAUUACGGUUCCAUUCGAUUAUAGGAACUGUUGAAGUACUCUGGAGUUUAUUAUGUUGAUUGAAAUUUUAAUAAUAGCUGU